AACGAAACCGCUGCUUGAUGGCAGCAUGAACUAAAAGCCAAGCUUGUGCGCAUGCGCGCUGAAGUACUUCCUUUCCAGUCCAGCAAGCAAGACUAAGAGCGAAGAUUUGAAUUGGAAAUCGAACUAUUUCACUGCAAAGAAAACCAUCGACGUCCAUAAAGAUUCAGAAAUUGAAGACAGUGGAGGAACUACUCGACCUUGACGAGUUGAUAAAAACUCAACCAAGCAAGAAAGAUUUGCUGACAGCCAGGCUCUCAAAGAUUGGUGGAUAUGACUUAAAGAGUUGUUUAAGCACCAUCAUGGACAGGUGGAGAAGAGUGCCAAAGCCAAUGUCAUUCCCAAUCCAGUCAUGACCAUAGGAGAUGUACUGAGACGCAUUGUUCCUUUUGGAAUCCCUACCGUGGAAUUAAUGGCGCUCCUGAGAGAGCUCUCUGCUCCUCUGGAUGAACAUAUUUCAUCCCCAAAACACAGCAUGCUUCCGGAAGAUACUCGCUCCCUUUCCUUUUCCGAGAGCCCAGUAGAAAAAAUGUCCGCGCUGUCCAUGAGCACAUUCUCCGCAGACCAUUCUUCAAAGAGGAGGUGCGACAAAGCGAGACAUUUCAUCGGAAUCUCUGCUCUUACAAAAGUCAUCGAGCAGAAAUUCAAUAUAAAGUUCCUUCAGUUUCAUGCCAGCUCUUUCAAAGUGGUCGCAAGAGUGAACCGAAGUCAGUAUCAGGACGAGUUGCCGUCAGAGCUGGAGUGAACAUCUGAAGGGUUGCGGGGGUUGCUGAUAUGGACCAAAAGGUAUCGCCUGACCCUCGUGAAUUCAUCAUUUAUUGAGAGGACCACUUUCUGAUUGUUUGGACACUAUGGGCAAAAGUCUGACUUUUGAUGUUAAAUUUGGUACACUCGGUCUUUAAAUUAUACUGUUUUAUAUAGUAUUGCUUUUUAUUUCAUUUAAUUACACUUUAGUAAAGGACAUAUCUCCCGUCCAAAGGCAAAACCCAGCAACUCAAUUUUGGUCAAAACUGAGCUGAUAAUAUGUUUGGAGUUCCUAGGUGAUAUGCUUUACAUUAGUGUAGUCGAUAUUGUAAUUUGUUCCGUAAGUAAGCUGUUACGCGCAUGGCAGGACCUAGCAACUACCACAUAACCGCGUAGACACAACAGAAAAGCCUAGUAUCUCAAGGGACCAAUCGGAGCUUCUUUGUCAGUCGCCUCAUUGUCUUUAAUGAGAUAUUUGCACGAAUGGGGGCCGACGGUCAACCUGAUUAUGUGAUAUUAUGGCACGAGUGGAUAUUUGGAAGAUUAGCCCAGGACGUUGCAAGCACCUUCAUUAAAUGUAUUGUUCUUGAUUCUUCCCCUUGCAUACUCUUUUGGGCAGAUAACUGUGGAGGUCAAAAUAAAAACUGGACGCUGUACACGGCUCUUGCCCAAUGUGCAAACGCAGAAUGGGGCCAACCCAAGAUUGUAAUAAAAUAUCUGGAGAAAGGGCACACGUUCAUGAGAGCAGAUUCAAUCCAUGGCUCAAUUGGCAAGAAAAUGAAAGCUCAAGAAAACAUCUAUACGUUUGAUGACUUUGUAGAUCUUUGUAAGACAGCAUCAAGAUAGAUUGGUUUUCCUUUGUUUUCUCAAAAUCAGCUAGAAGUGAGUUACUAGGUUUGGCCUUUGGACGGGUGAUAUGACAUAAUAGUGUGUUUAUUUACAUGGUAUCAAUGUAGAAAUAUACUUUACCACUCCUCCAUACUGUAUGUCAUCAACCGCAUUUUUUAAAAACUACCCUGAACUGUGAAAUAAGGUGGAAACACAAACAAUUCUAGGAAUUACAUGUGCCAGGAUAUUUUUAAGUUUCUGAACUUUUGGUGGAAAAAGGCCAGAGGGACCAAGAAGAGAAACAAUAAUUCAUAUGAUAAAAACAGUAAUGAUGUUAUUUUUACUGUAAAAUUCUGGCAACUGAGCUGCUAGUUUUUUUUCUUGGCUUCAGCAAACUGCUUCAAACAUGGCCAAACUAUCAUUUCCAGCCUCGCAAACGGACUAUUGCUGAUUUAAAGCGGGGUGAAAAUGACAAGCUAAACAUACCCUGACAAAAAAGGUUCAGUGACAUCAUGACAGAGGAGGUUUGCUGUCUCAGCAGAAAGAUGGAGUCGACAUCUUACACACAAACUACCAAGGAGGUCUUGAGACAUAUUUGCAAAGGCCAGCACAAUUUUGUAAAGAAUUACAUUUGGUCUAAGUGAUGAAAACAAAGACACCGUUUGAUCAUUCUCUAUCAGGCUGAAAGCUGGGCAGGCAGCCAUUGGCCAGCUGAGCUGGCACAUCAGGUCCCGAAGGUUUAGACUACGGCAUCCAAGCACUCUGACGAGAUUUGCUGUCUUAUUCUGGCUGAGUCAUGAAGGAUCAGAAAUUGUUUUUAUUUUAAAAAUAGACUUUGAAGAGGUCCUCAUGUCAAACUGUGACGGUAAGCUAAACACCACUCAGACAUCAGUUGUGUAUGUCAGAUAAAGUACAGUACAUACACCAAUUGCAGUACAUACAUUAAUUAAUUGGAGUACAAUUGUGACCCGGGCCGAUGUGACAGUUGGUUGGGGAACGCAUAAUAAAUGAAAAUUAAUGAAAUAACAGUACAUAUAUCAAGUGCGGUGCAUACUUGACACAAAGUAUGCUACAUACUUAAUGUAGGCACUAUACUUGAUGUAUGUACUGGACUUAUUGUGUCAAUGUUACUACUCGAUCUGCAUACAGUAGUUGAUGUUAUUUUAAACACUUAACUUGAUAUACAGUACAGGCCAAAAGUUUGAACACACCUUCUCCUCAUUCAAUGCAUUUUCUUUAUUUUCAUGACUUUUUACAUUGCAGAUUGUCACUGAAGGCAUCAAAACAAUGAAUAAACACAUGUGGAGUUAUGUACUUAACAAAAAAGGUGAAAUAACUGAAAACAUAGCCACUAGGGCUGUGAAUCUUUGGGUGUCUAACGAUUCGAUUCAAUAUCAAUUCUUGGGGUCACGAUUCGAUAAUAUAUCGAUUUUUUCGAUUCGAUUCGAUUCUCCAUUCAAAAACGAUAUUUUUCCGAUUCAAAAGGAUUCUGUUUUCAUUCACUACAUAGGAUUUCAGCAGGAUCUACCCCAGUCUGCUGACAUGCUAGCAGAGUAGUAAUUUUUUUUUUAAAAGCUUUUAUAAUUGUAAAGGAAAUUAUUUUAUCAACUGAUUGCCAUAAUGUACAUUUAUUUUGACUGUUAAACGAACCAAAAAUAUGACUUAUUUUAUUUUUGUGAAAACAUUGGACACAGUGUGUUGUCAAGUUUAUGAGAUGCAAUGCAAGUGUAAGCCACUGUGACACUAUUGUUCUUUUUUUAUUUUUAUAAAUGUUUAAUGAUAAUGUCAAUGAGGGAUUUUUAAUCAAUGCUAUGAUAAAAUUAUAACUAAUAUUGAUACUGUUGUUGAUAAUAUUCAUUUUUGUUUCACUACUUUUGGCUUGUUCUGUGUCAUGUUUGUGUCUUUAUUGCAGUUCUGAGUGU